ensembl:lncRNA
CCGGAGGGACCCAUUGUGGAUCUGAUGAGAAGGAAAUAUGGAGAUCAAUCUCUAGAGUUUUUGCCCGAGUGGUCAAAAGAUUUUGGGUUCCCUGCAAAUGGUUCUUUCAGUAGAAUAAAACUGAACAUGUUACGAACAGGCUUAGAGGGAAAAGAGAAGGGUAUAAAAACUCAGAGGGUGAUAAAAGGCAAAGACUUGGAGAACAUUGAGAAACAAAGUAAAUGGUUAAAAUGGUGGGAGGAUGAAUGUGAAUGUAGAGAAAGGAAACAAAUGGCUAAAGAAUUGACAUGCGCAAAAACCACAUUGGUUGAAAAACCAGAUCCAAAUGUUAUUGUUCCCUGACAAAGUGGAUAUGACUCCCAUCAACAAUACCAAGCAGGCAGCGGGUGAGUCCGUCCAUGAUUACUACCAAAGACUUCUCACAGUGUUUAAUCUUAACAGUGGCAUUCCACAACCCGCCGCGUUAGGAGACGCUCUGGGGACGUGGGAAUCACACCUGAAGAAUGCUUUCAUGAAUGGACUAUUACCCGACAUAAAAAUGAAUGUGCAGCGCUCUGUGGCUGGAAUGGAAGACUCGCGACUCGCGGAUGUAAAGAAACAUGCUGCGCAUGCGCAAUCCAUGGACAUAGAGAGAACUGACCACGAGGGGAAAAGGCGCUCACGUCAGAUUGAACUCGCCC